rnacentral:rRNA from 1 species
AUUGAACGCUGGCGGAAUGCUUUACACAUGCAAGUCGAACGGUAGAGGGGGCAACCCCUUGAGAGUGGCGAACGGGUGAGUAAUAUAUCGGAACGUGCCCAGUCGUGGGGAUAACGUAGCGAAAGUUACGCUAAUACCGCAUACGAUCUAAGGAUGAAAGCGGGGGACUCGCAAGAGCCUCGCGCGAUUGGAGCGGCCGAUAUCAGAUUAGGUAGUUGGUGGGGUAAAGGCUCACCAAGCAACGAUCUGUAGCUGGUCUGAGAGGACGACCAGCCACACUGGAACUGAGACACGGUCCAGACUCCUACGGGAGGCAGCAGUGGGGAAUUUUGGACAAUGGGCGCAAGCCUGAUCCAGCAAUGCCGCGUGCAGGAUGAAGG